CCCUAUGGGGUGCAUCGUGAACGGGCCCGGCGAGUCCAAACACGUGAACAUCGGCAUCAGCCUGCCCGGCACCGGCGAGAGUCCCAAGUGCCCCGUCUUCGUGGACGGCGAGAAGCGGACGACGCUGGAGGGGACCUACGAGGUCCUCGCCGAGGCCUUCGAGGCCCUCAUCGAGGAGUACGUCCGCACCAAGUACCCGCGACGGUAGGCACAGGGAAGGACGGGGAGGGGAGUUUGAAAUAUCAAGUCUAAAGGGCAAGACCAAAGACGAAAUACCAAGGUCAAACCGGGCGUGGCGUUGGUCCCUCAUCGUCGGCCCAAAAACCGAAGCCUCCACCGGCCCGGCGCUCGAUCACUCCCCAACCAACCGAUACCCCACGCCCGUCUCGGUGAGGAGGUGGCGGGGGGGC
rnacentral:rRNA from 1 species